CUUAGCAGUUCUAUGGUUAAAUUAAAUAAGGGAGACUGGAGUAAAAAUUUCCUGUGUAUCAAUGUCUUUUUUUGAGACAGAGUCUCACUGUCACCCAUGCUGGAGUGCAGGGACAAUCGCAGCUCAUGGUAGCCUCAACCUUCUGGGCUCAGAUAAUGAGGCACAAGAGAAACUGAAGAUCAUCUAUAUUUUAUUUUGGAAAAGAAUCACAAAUAAAUUUUAAAGUA